AUUGAACGCUGGCGGCAGGCCUAACACAUGCAAGUCGAACGGUAACAGGAAACAGCUUUCUUUUUCGCUGACGAGUGGCGGACGGGUGAGUAAUGUCUGGGAAACUGCCUGAUGGAGGGGGAUAACUACUGGAAACGGUAGCUAAUACCGCAUAACGUCGCAAGACCAAAGAGGGGGACCUUCUGGCCUCUUGCCAUCUGAUGUGCCCAGAUGGGAUUAGCUAGUAGGUGGGGUAACGGCUCACCUAGGCGACGAUCCCUAGCUGGUCUGAGAGGAUGACCAGCCACACUGGAACUGAGACACGGUCCAGACUCCUACGGGAGGCAGCAGUGGGGAAUAUUGCACAAUGGGCGCAAGCCUGAUGCAGCCAUGCCGCGUGUAUGAAGAAGGCCUUCGGGUUGUAAAGUACUUUCAUCGGGGAGGAAGGGAGUAAAGUUAAUACCUUGACUCAUUGACGUUACCCGAAGAAGAAGCACCGGCUAACUCCGUG
rnacentral:rRNA from 1 species